AGGCAGUCGCCUCUUUUUCUCAGAAUUUUUUCUUCUUCAAUUGUUUUCUGGCCAACGUCCGAUUUGACUCCGAUUUUGGCAGAAUCUGGAAGUGAAGAUGUUUUAUUGGGUGGUUUUCGGUUGCAUCUGUGAUAGUUCGAUGGGCUAUUCAUUGGAAGACAUGGUGUUAUAAUGUGAAGAGACAAAACUUGAUCUUCUAAUCCAGGUGGAUGAGCAGCCCCAGAGCAGCCGAAAGAGAGAAUCUGAACUGAGAGAUGAACUUGAGUCCGCCAUGGUGGAAGAGAAACCUCCUCAAGACAGUACCCAGAUGCAAGUGUCAGUGUCAUCACCACAAGAGAACGCGAAGAAAGAUGUUCGAUGGAGGCACUGCAUCAUCAAACGAA